rnacentral:rRNA from 1 species
AGAGUUUGAUCCUGGCUCAGAACGAACGCUGGCGGCGUGCCUAACACAUGCAAGUCGAACGGGGAUAGGGAGCUUGCUUCCUAUUCUAGUGGCGCACGGGUGAGUAACGCGUAGAUAAUCUGCCCGACGAUCCGGGAUAACAGUUCGAAAGGACUGCUAAUACCGGAUAAGCCCACGGGGUCUUUGGACCUUGCGGGAAAAGGGGGGGACCUUCGGGCCUUCUGUCGUCGGAUGAGUCUGCGUACCAUUAGCUAGUUGGUAGGGUAAAGGCCUACCAAGGCGACGAUGGUUAGCUGGUCUGAGAGGAUGAUCAGCCACACUGGAACUGAGACACGGUCCAGACUCCUACGGGAGGCAGCAGUGGGGAAUUUUGCACAAUGGGCGAAAGCCUGACGCAGCAACGCCGCGUGAGUGAUGAAGGCUUUCGGGUCGUAAAGCUCUGUCAGGGGGAAAGAAGUGUAUUAUGGCUAAUAUCCAUGAUACUUGACGGUACCCCCAAAGGAAGCACCGGCUAACUCCGUGCCAGCAGCCGCGGUAAUACGGAGGGUGCGAGCGUUGUUCGGAAUUAUUGGGCGUAAAGCGCGUGUAGGCGGUUUGUUAAGUCUGAUGUGAAAGCCCCGGGCUCAACCUGGGAAGUGCAUUGGAAACUGGCAGACUUGAAUACGGGAGAGGGUAGUGGAAUUCCUAGUGUAGGAGUGAAAUCCGUAGAUAUUAGGAGGAACACCGGUGGCGAAGGCGGCUGCCUGGACCGAUAUUGACGCUGAGACGCGAAAGCGUGGGUAGCAAACAGGAUUAGAUAC